AGUGAACGCUGGCGGUAGGCCUAACACAUGCAAGUCGAACGGCAGCACAGUAAGAGCUUGCUCUUACGGGUGGCGAGUGGCGGACGGGUGAGGAAUACAUCGGAAUCUACUUUUUCGUGGGGGAUAACGUAGGGAAACUUACGCUAAUACCGCAUACGACCUACGGGUGAAAUCAGGGGAUCUUCGGACCUUGCGCGAUUGAACGAGCCGAUGUCGGAUUAGCUAGUUGGCGGGGUAAAGGCCCACCAAGGCGACGAUCCGUAGCUGGUCUGAGAGGAUGAUCAGCCACACUGAAACUGAGACACGGUCCAGACUCCUACGGGAGGCAGCAGUGGGGAAUAUUGGACAAUGGGCGCAAGCCUGAUCCAGCCAUACCGCGUGGGUGAAGAAGGCCUUCGGGUUGUAAAGCCCUUUUGUUGGGAAAGAAAAGCAGCAGGUUAAUACCCCGCUGUUCUGACGGUACCCAAAGAAUAAGCACCGGCUAACUUCGUG
rnacentral:rRNA from 1 species